UACGAAGGGGGCUAGCGUUGCUCGGAAUCACUGGGCGUAAAGGGUGCGUAGGCGGGUCUUUAAGUCAGGGGUGAAAUCCUGGAGCUCAACUCCAGAACUGCCUUUGAUACUGGAGACCUUGAGUCCGGGAGAGGUGAGUGGAAUUGCGAGUGUAGAGGUGAAAUUCGUAGAUAUUCGCAAGAACACCAGUGGCGAAGGCGGCUCACUGGCCCGGAACUGACGCUGAGACGCGAAAGCGUGGGGAGCAAACCGG
rnacentral:rRNA from 1 species